UCCGGUGAUGAUGGCGGAAAGGUCACACCCGUUUCCAUCCCGAACACGGAAGUUAAGCUUUCCAGCGCCGAUGGUAGUUGGGGGUUUCCCCCUGCGAGAGUAGGACGUUGCCGGGC
rnacentral:rRNA from 5 species